GCUAUACUCUCGCUCUCCUCUCAAAACCCUAAUUUGAACUCUUUCUCUUCUCUUCUCUGGCGAACACGGCGACUAAACAAGAGCCAAUAAUUUUGAUCAAGAAUCAACGGAUUUGAAGAUAAAUCAUAUACGGAAAUCAAAUCCUCGAGAUCAAAUCGGCGAUUUAGUGAAGAGGUAUAAUAAAUCUUCAUCGAUGGUAUUGAUUCGUGAUUCCGAUAUCCCCAUCUUUUACAUACGCUUUCGUUUUCUUUGAUCCGAUGUUUCAGAUUCAAUGGUUUUGUUAGAUUCUUUGUUUGUUAGAUUAUCGAACGCGAUUGAUGUUAUUAUGGUAUUGAUUCGUGAUUUCGUGGUUUUGAUUUCAUUAGAUUCAUGUGUUAAUUUGGGGGAAAAUGAAGUGGUGUAUAUGAUUUGAUUUAAGUUUUUGAGUGAAAUUAGAAAUGUAAUGUGAGUUUUUUUUUAUGAAUUGGUGAUUUUAAUUUUUUUUUUGUGAUUUGAUUAGAGUUUUUGAGUGAAAUCUGAAAUAAGAAAGUGACUUUUUAGUCGGUUACGAUUGCAUGAAUUUGUGGUUAAUCAUCCACUGUUCGUGAAGUUUGGUAAUGUGGGGAUGAUCACGAAGGCGAACCUCGUGACGUACCAUGGACCGACUAUGGUGGCGAAUAAGCUUCACGCGGCAGCGAUGUUGUUGAGAGAUGGUGGAGAUUGGGACUGGUUUAUUAAUUUGAGUUCUUCUGAUUAUCCACUGGUCACUUAAGACGAUCUGAUUUAUGUGUUCUCUUCGUUACCGAGGGAUGUUAAUUUUAUUGAUCAUACGAGUAAUAUUUGAUGGAAAGAGUUUCAAAGAGCGAAGCCUGUGAUUGUGGAUCCUGGGUUGUAUAUGAGUGAAAAGAGUGAUGUGUUUUGGAUUAUACAGAGGAGGAGUGUGCCAACAGCUUUUAAAUUGUUUACAGGUUUUUGUUAUGGCAUCCUUUUUUUAUACAGAGAGUUAUUUAGAUUAUAUAUGUUAGUAAUUAUAGGAUUGCCUUUGAAUAUUGUGAUAUGGACAUAUAGGUAAUUAGGUAUGGGGUAAUGGUACUACCAAAUUAUUCAAUUUUGGAUGUGAAAUCUGUUGAAAAUGAAAAAAGUUUAAAUUUUUUUCUAAUGUUUAUCUAUGAGAACUUUAUGGGCACUUCGAGAUGUGCUUUUACUUGAUUUAGCUAAGCAUUGGCCAUUUCUCGUGUUUGAGUUGUUCAUUUUUGUAACUUCCAUUCCCAGGCCCGGCAUAGGUUGUACCACCAAUAACAUCACACAAAGAGUUAGUUUUUUAGAGAUCUAGAUAAAACAUUUCCAUUCCAUGCGUUUUGAUUAAACCAAAACGUCUUUAAUUUUGGUUUCAAUUUUUCACGCCACAAAACCCAUGUGAUACUAUGUUC